rnacentral:rRNA from 1 species
UACAGAGGGGGCAAGCGUUGUUCGGAAUUACUGGGCGUAAAGGGCGCGUAGGCGGCCACCUAAGUCAGACGUGAAAUCCCUCGGCUCAACCGGGGAACUGCGUCUGAUACUGGGCGGCUUGAAUUCGGGAGAGGAAUGCGGAAUUCCAGGUGUAGCGGUGAAAUGCGUAGAUAUUCGGAAGAACACCAGUGGCGAAGGCGACUCACUGGACAUGUAUUGACGCUGAGGUACGAAAGCGUGGGGAGCAAACAGG